rnacentral:lncRNA from 1 species
UGGCAGUCUGAGCUGAACAGGGAAAAUGGAAACAUUCUUCAAGUGACCAGAGCACUCUGCCGGGAACAAAAGACUUUGCCUUGAACGCGUAGUGGAGAAGCUACAAACCCCAGGUCCCAGUGGCCCUGAUUGACUUAGCUCACCAUGACCAAACGGCUGCAGGCUCGGAGGCUGGACGGGAUUGAUCAAAACCUCUGGGUGGAGUUUGGCAAACUGACCAAGGAGUAUGACGUCGUGAACUUGGGUCAGGGCUUCCCUGACUUCUCGCCUCCGGACUUUGCAACGCAAGCUUUUCAGCAGGCUACCAGUGGGAACUUCAUGCUCAACCAGUACACCAGGGCAUUUGGUUACCCACCACUGACAAACGUCCUGGCAAGUUUCUUUGGCAAGCUGCUGGGACAGGAGAUGGACCCACUCACGAAUGUGCUGGUGACACCUGCCCGGAGCUGAGGAUGAGCCUUAUGACAGACGCUUUGCCAAGUGGAUGAUCAAAAACAUGGGCUUGGUGGGCAUCCCUGUCUCCACAUUCUUCAGUCGGCCCCAUCAGAAGGACUUUGACCACUACAUCCGAUUCUGUUUUGUCAAGGACAAGGCCACACUCCAGGCCAUGGAUGAGAGACUGCGCAAGUGGAAAGAGCUCCAACCCUGAGGAGGCUGCCCUCAGCCCCACCUCGAACACAGGCCUCAGCUAUGCCUUAGCACAGGGAUGGCACUGGAGGGCCCAGCUGUGUGACUGCGCAUGUUUCCAGAAAAGAGGCCAUGUCUUGGGGGUUGAAGCCAUCCUUUCCCAGUGUCCAUCUGGACUAUUGGGUUGGGGGCCAGUUCUGGGUCUCAGCCUACUCCUCUGUAGGUUGCCUGUAGGGUUUUGAUUGUUUCUGGCCUCUCUGCCUGGGGCAGGAAAGGGUGGAAUAUCAGGCCCGGUACCACCUUAGCCCUGCCGAGGCUCUGUGGCUUCUCUACAUCUUCUCCUGUGACCUCAGGAUGUUGCUACUGUUCCUAAUAAAGUUUUAAGUUAUUAGGACCCUC